AUCCCUUUAAAAUGUCUAAAUAUGGUGCAUAUGUGGAAUGGAAAUAGGUAAUCCGUGUGAAGCUACACAGUUCUGUCAUUCAUCAGAACAUGAUGCACCCCCCUCAGUGCAACAGGGAUUAUCCUCUCUGUGCAUCCAGACAGGUUAAAACCCAUACUGUCAAGAUGCAUAAUGAUAAAAUCAUAUCUAUGUGGUUUCAUUGCAUACUUCACCAUGUCUUAUUGCCUUAUUUUCUUGUAACAAAAGACAUAUCUUAAACAAUAUGUUAUAGUGACCUGAAAUCCACACUUCUUCCUCAACUGGAGUAGCCUAUGCUAUGCCAGGGGAUCGGUUGUUAAGCUGCUUUUUGGCACUAGUGUUCGGCCUUGGCAGAAUAGCCCAGUUUAAGAUGUCAGUUUAAUCUCAGAGUGAGAGUAUUACACUGACACAGACACAUAUGGCAUUACACAGUGUUUUCCCUCAUGUAUCUAAUUCAAAGAAUUGCCAAGUCUCAUAUCAAUGCUGCUAGCAUCGUGCCUGAUAGUGCCAUAGCAGCCUAUUCCCUGCACAUCCCGGUGGUAAAGAGGUCCUAGUCCAAGAGCAACACAGGUAUUUCUGCCGUGGCCAAGAGGGACCAUAUGUCUCUGCUGUCUGUCCCACCUCCGUUCCAGUCUGCCAGGCCUCUGACACAUAUGGGGUUUAAUGCCAUUAAGCACGAGGUUCAUGACCUCAAAGGCGUUUCUGUCUUCGCUCGUACGGGUAAUGAACCUAGCGAUGUGUCAGCAGUUGCCCAGCUGACACAAACACUAUAAUGUCUAAAGGCAGGUUCUCAGGGUGGUGGUAUUCACCAAAGACUUAUACCUACUUCAGACGGAUAAGUGGGACUGAUUGAUUGUUUUAAUUAAUGCAUUAACCAUCACAAUGGUCUGCUGUGGGCUACAAAACCACCAGUAAGUAGUGCUGCUGCCACUAACUGUCAUACGCUACCAAACAAGAAUGUAUACACACACCCACUGUGUUUUCCCCUGCUUAUUAAUGGCAAAUUAUAAAGAAGCAUUGACAAAUCAAUUUAAACUUGCAACACUAGCUAACGUUACAGUGCAAUAUGUUCACUUGCUGCAGGGCAAUAUGUUCACUUAAAUAUAACAGUAGACUAACAUUACAUCUGGUCAGCUAAUUAUACCAGUAGCAGUACUAUAGAUAGCUAAAAUUACAGCAUGACCACUUGGAUCAUCUUAGAUGACAUGUAGCCGAAGAUGGUGUAUAAAGGAAUAUAGUUCACUCAGGCCGUUUGGGGCAGUGGUUUGGUUUGGGUAAUAUGGCUUCCUCCUCCGCCUCUGGUCGAGUUCAGUGUUGUUUCCGCCUACUGUUACCAGGGAAACGCACUGCCCAAUCAAAAGUACUGCAGUAUAAGGACCUUCGACUCAGUAACCAACCUAAUCGCGCCUUGUUCUAAAAUUAGCCAGUUUGAAACGCAAGUCAAGCGGGUUGAAACGGUCAAAUUCAACCAAUUACAAACAAACAAACGCAAGACGAAGCUAGUUCGAGAUACUCUAAAAAGCAGUAAUUGAAUAACGUUAUCUAGCUAUUUUUGAAAAUGAUGACAUUAUACAAGACAAUGUUUCAAAGCUGCAGUGUGUGUUUUCGCACUCGCUAGAUGAAGGGGAUUCGAGCAGUCCAGUUCUACCAGGGGACUGUGAUCGGGGCAGCUCGGUCUCAUCUGAGCUGCAGGAUGAAUAUGAAGAACUUCUCCACCAUGCAGUGGUCAGUCCUGAGUAUGAGCCGCAGCCCAGUGCUCAACUGCAGCUUCUGAACGCAUCACAACUGUCUGCAGAUGAACAAGGUUCCCGUGGAAACAAUGACGCUAGGCCCUAACACUCAGCAGGCCCACAGUGCCCGGCUGGCAGAGCAGCACUACAGUCUGCAGCUGAAGAGGAAGGUGUGGGCAGGCUGGCAUGCCCUCGUCCAGGGGAGGUGGAAACAGAAAUCAUAUGUAAUUCUAACACACUGAAAUGUGCAUUUUUUUUGUUGGGUGUUCUGUACUAAAAUAAGACAAUUUACCCAGAGUUUCACAUGAGCACAGAACAGUAGCUAGCUACACUAACUGGACAACAGAGACUGAAUAAACAUGGUCUUAUAUAAAUAGUUGUCACUCGCCAUAUCUCACAGUUCUGCAGACCUUCUUCUGGCGCCGACAGAGAUGGCCGCCUCGCUUCGCGUUCCUAGGAAACUAUGCAGUUUUGUUUUUUUACGUGUUAUUUCUUACAUUAGUACCCCAGGUCAUCUUAGGUGUCAUUACAUACAGUCGAGAAGAACUACUGAAUAUAAGAUCAGCGUCAACUCACCAUCAGUACGACCAAGAAUGUUUUUCGCGACGCGGAUCCUGUGUUCUGCCUUACAAACAGGACAACGGAAUGGAUCGCAUGCAGCGACCCAAAAAAACGACUCCGAAAAAGAGGGAAACGAGGCGGUCUUCUGGUCAGACUCCGGAGACGGGCACACCGUGCUCCACUCCCUAGCAUUCUUCUUGCCAAUGUCCAGUCUCUAGACAACAAGGUUGAUGAAAUCCGAGCAAGGGUAGCAUUCCAGAGGGACAUCAGAGACUGUAACGUUCUGUGCUUCACGGAAACAUGGCUCACUGGAGAGACGCUAUCCGAAGCGGUGCAGCCAACGGGUUUCUCCACGCAUCGCGCCGACAGAAACAAACACCUU